AAAAGAACAUGUUAGACGAAUCAUCUGGAAAGAUGAAUCAAAGAAGGUAAUAAUCCUGUAGUCGAAAACAUAUUCUCUCUUGAGUGGAUCCUGAGUACGACGGAGCACGUGAAAUUCCGUCGGAAUCUGGGAGGACCAUCUCCUAAGGCUAAAUACUCUCUAGUGACCGAUAGUGAACCAGUACCGUGAGGGAAAGGUGAAAAGUACCCCGGAAGGGGAGUGAAAGAGAACUUGAAACCGUGUGCUUACAAGUAGUCAGAGCCCGUUAAUGGGUGAUGGCGUGCCUUUUGUAGAAUGAACCGGCGAGUUACGAUCUGAUGCAAGGUUAAGCAGCAAAUGUGGAGCCGCAGCGAAAGCGAGUCUGAAUAGGGCGUUGAGUAUUUGGUCGUAGACCCGAAACCAGGUGAUCUACCCUUGGUCAGGUUGAAGUUCAGGUAACACUGAAUGGAGGACCGAACCGACUUACGUUGAAAAGUGAGCGGAUGAACUGAGGGUAGCGGAGAAAUUCCAAUCGAACUUGGAGAUAGCUGGUUCUCUCCGAAAUAGCUUUAGGGCUAGCCUCAAGUGAUGAUUAUUGGAGGUAGAGCACUGUUUGGACGAGGGGCCCCUCUCGGGUUACCGAAUUCAGACAAACUCCGAAUGCCAAUUAAUUUAACUUGGGAGUCAGAACAUGGGUGAUAAGGUCCGUGUUCGAAAGGGAAACAGCCCAGACCACCAGCUAAGGUCCCAAAAUAUAUGUUAAGUGGAAAAGGAUGUGGCGUUGCCCAGACAACUAGGAUGUUGGCUUAGAAGCAGCCAUCAUUUAAAGAGUGCGUAAUAGCUCACUAGUCGAGUGACACUGCGCCGAAAAUGUACCGGGGCUAAACAUAUUACCGAAGCUGUGGAUUGUCCUUUGGACAAUGGUAGGAGAGCGUUCUAAGGGCGUCGAAGCAUGAUCGCAAGGACAUGUGGAGCGCUUAGAAGUGAGAAUGCCGGUGUGAGUAGCGAAAGACGGGUGAGAAUCCCGUCCACCGAUUGACUAAGGUUUCCAGAGGAAGGCUCGUCCGCUCUGGGUUAGUCGGGUCCUAAGCUGAGGCCGACAGGCGUAGGCGAUGGAUAACAGGUUGAUAUUCCUGUACCACCUAGUAUCGUUUUAAUCGAUGGGGGGACGCAGUAGGAUAGGCGAAGCG
rnacentral:rRNA from 1 species